AGUUGUAAGAAAGACUCAACAAACAAGGGUUGGGGCAAGGUUCUGUUUUUUGUCUUUACAGGAUAAUAGAAACACCCAUUUUCAAAAAAUCAUAAGGCCUUGGAUACCGAGAUGUCUAUAGCAAAAGGAAUGAAUCUAUUGGUACCAAUAUACACAGGGUAAUAUCUCACUGCCUAACAUCUAUAUCUCUUUAACCCUAGAAAAAAAAGUUAUGGUUCCAAUUCAGUUAUAAAUCAAGCUGGCUUUGGAGUUGGAAUAUGGCUCUCUCCUUCUCUAAAUGCAAGCAUGUUGCUAGAAGAAAAAGUUAAGAGAUUCUGUCUCAUAUCAGAAGAGCUGCCUGGUGUGGGGCAGAAGAAAACCGACAAAAAGGGACCAUUGCUGUCAAGAUCCUAUUUCUUUCCAUGCUUGUCCUUGCUUUCGGCGGAUCCUUUCUCUAUCCAGAAUAAAUACAAACUUUCCAUUUUGAUAUUAAAAAUGUUCAAGUUUUCCACAUAAAAAAACACACUAAGUACUAGAUUCAGUUUCUUCAGGAUAGGACAGCUUUUGGAAUAAUCUCUCUAACAUACCAUUUACCUAUGUUCUGGACAUCUCUGGAUUUGAAUAUGUGUCUCUUGUUUGGUGUUCUUGUUGGCUGUAGUUCCAUUUUGCUUAGGUCAUUACCCAUUAUUUCUGCUGGACAAUACUUAAUAAUCAUUCCUAUUGUAUAUGGUUUUGUGUUAGGUUAGAACUUUCUUAUUUAAACAAAAGGGGGAGAUGUAGUGGAUGGUUGUUUGAGCCAUGCCCUGAAGCACAGCCCCUAGUGAGGUAGCAGGUAACUGUUACAUCUGUCUAUGACCUUGAGGUACAUGCCCCUUGGGUGUGGCCACUGGGGGACCCUUAACACCUGGAUGCAUGUACGCGAUCUCUCUUGGUUACCUCAUGGUUUGGGAUGCUGAGAUCUUGGACCAGGCAGAUCAGCAUGGGACAUAACUCAACUUUCCUGGACCUUACAAUAAAUCUCCUGUGGUUUGCCCAUGGAGGCCAGAAGAGAGCAUCACCUGGAACUGGAAUUACAGACCAUUGUGAGACGCCAUGUGCUGGGAAGUGAACUCCAGUCAUCUGAACAAGCAGUAGGUCCUCCAUGUUUGUGAUGGCUGAUUUUGGUUGUUGACUUCACUGCAUCUGGAAUCAACUAAACCUAAGCCGCUGGGCACUCCCCUGAGGGAUUUUCUUCAUCAGAUUAUUCGAAGCAAGAAAACCCACCCUGUCUGGGUGACACCUUCUGGUGGCAGCCCAGAAACAAGGACAUGGCCUUUGCCUGCCGCUCACCCUCACUCUUUCUGGCAAGUCCAUCUCUGCUGUUGAUUUGGCUUCUUCAGGAUUCUGAAACAGACUGAGGACCAGCAGCUCUCUGGGAAUCCUCCAGGCCUUCGGCACUAGAUCAGGACUGCUGAGACAUCGUCGAGACUUGAGGACAAAGCAACUACUGGAUGCUUGGCCUCUCCAGUGUGAGACAGACACUGUUGGGAUACUCAGAUCCAUUCUGAAAGCCAAUCCGGUAAAUCUCCUUAUGCUUAUUAAAAUAGCA